CUAUAUAUUGCGCCUGUCGGUAUUCGCCCGCUGGCUCAGCGGGGGGAUUGAAAAGGGAAUCCGGUGCAAACCCGGAACUGCCCCGCAGCGGUAAGUGGAAGCGACCGGCCUCAACAGCACUGGACCCCAGCGUCCGGGAAGCGAGGCCCAGUAGGUGGAGUUCGGCCCCGCGCCCGAGCUCCGUGCCACGAGUCCGAAGACCUGCCGGCACACCGUCGCGAAC
rnacentral:ncRNA from 2 species